GAUAAACGCUAGCGGCAGGCUUAACACAUGCAAGUCGCGGGGCAGCAUAGAUUGUAGCAAUACAAUUGGUGGCGACCGGCGCACGGGUGCGUAACGCGUAUGCAACCUACCCGUCACAGGGGGAUAAUCCGGAGCAAUCUGGUCUAAUACCCCAUAACAUAUGGAUCGGCAUCGGUUCAUGUUGAAAUUUUCGGAGGUGACGGAUGGGCAUGCGUAGCAUUAGCUUGUUGGUGAGGUAACGGCCCACCAAGGCGACGAUGCUUAGGGGGACUGAGAGGUUUUCCCACCACACUGGUACUGAGACACGGACCAGACUCCUACGGGAGGCAGCAGUGAGGAAUAUUGGUCAAUGGGCGCAAGCCUGAACCAGCCAUGCCGCGUGCAGGAUGACGGCUCUAUGAGUUGUAAACUGCUUUUGUACGAGGGUAAAGUGGGUUACGUGUAACCUUUUGAAAGUAUCGUACGAAUAAGGAUCGGCUAACUCCGUGCCAGCCGCCGCGGUAA
rnacentral:rRNA from 1 species